AUUCCAGCUCCAAUAGUGUAUCUUAACGUUGUUGCAGUUAAAAAGCUCGUAGUUGAAUUUCUGGGGGGGCUGCUUCGGUUAACGCCUGGCGGCCCCUUCAUCCGCCUUGGAACCAGGAAGGGUAUUUGUUUACUGGCCUGGGGAAGUGGCAUUUUACUUUGAAGAAAUUAGAGUGUUCAUAGCAGGCUAUCGCUUGAAUAUAUCAGCAUGGAAUAAUGGAAUAGGACAUCGUCCGUCUUUUGGUGAUUGGACAUGUAAUGAUUAGCAGGGACAGUUGGGGGCAUUCGUACUGGUUACCGAGAGGUGAAAUUCUUUGAUCUGACCAAGACGAACUAAAGCGAAGGCAUUUGCCAAGGAUGUUUUCAUCA
rnacentral:rRNA from 1 species